CUUGUCACACAAAUAUGCAGGACUUUCCAAAAUUUUACUUCGAGUCACAGCAGUCUAAACCCUGGGCCGAAACAUUCAAUUACUUAGGUAAUUCAACC